UCCUAUCAGGCGAAGGCCGCCUUUCC
rnacentral:piRNA from 1 species